rnacentral:misc_RNA from 1 species
AAGUCGUAACAAGGUUUCCGUAGGUGAACCUGCGGAAGGAUCAUUAACACUCUUUUUUCAAUGAAAGAGCUCAUUUUUUGAUAUCUUUGUUUUUUCUUUUGAGAAACUUGGAUUCAAAUAAUGGGUAUUCACCCCCUUAUAUUGACGAACGAAGAAAAAAAUGAUUUCGUUUCAAAAGCAAAACUCAUAUUUUUCUAUCUUUUUUCUCUAUACCUUAUAUUUUUCAAAACCCCUUUUUUUACAAUAUGUCUUAGACUGAAAUGAAAAAUUAAGAUAAAUUAAAAAACAACUCUUAACAACGGAUAUCUUGGUUCUC